UACGUAGGGUGCAAGCGUUUAUCCGGAAUUAUUGGGCGUAAAGAGCUCGUAGGCGGUUUGUCGCGUCUGCCGUGAAAGUCCGGGGCUCAACUCCGGAUCUGCGGUGGGUACGGGCAGACUAGAGUGAUGUAGGGGGAGACUGGAAUUCCUGGUGUAGCGGUGAAAUGCGCAGAUAUCAGGAGGAACACCGAUGGCGAAGGCAGGUCUCUGGGCUGACACUGACGCUCAUGCACGAAAGCGUGGGGAGCAAACAGG
rnacentral:rRNA from 1 species